rnacentral:rRNA from 1 species
GRACGGAAACGAUGGAAGCUUGCUUCCAGGCGUCGAGUGGCGGACGGGUGAGUAAUGCUUGGGAAUCUGCCUAAUAGUGGGGAACAACUCGGGGAAACUCGGGCUAAUACCGCAUAAUCUCUUCGGAGGAAAGGGGGCCUCUACAUGUAAGCUCUCGCUAAUAGAUGAGCCCAAGUCAGAUUAGCUUGUUGGUAAGGUAACGGCUUACCAAGGCUACGAUCUGUAGCUGGUCUGAGAGGAUGAUCAGCCACACUGGGACUGAGACACGGCCCAGACUCCUACGGGAGGCAGCAGUGGGGAAUAUUGCACAAUGGGCGAAAGCCUGAUGCAGCAAUGCCGCGUGUGUGAAGAAGGCUCUAGGGUUGUAAAGCACUUUCAAUAAGGAAGAAAAACAUAAGGCUAAUAACCUUAUGCAUUGACGUAACUUAUACAAGAAGCACCGGCUAAUUCCGUGCCAGCAGCCGCGGUAAUACGGAAGGUGCAAGCGUUAAUCGGAAUUACUGGGCGUAAAGCGCGCGUAGGCUGUUAUCUAAGUCGGAUGUGAAAUCCUCGGGCUCAACCUGGGAACUGCAUCCGAAACUGAAUAACUAGAGUAUGGGAGAGGUAAGUAGAAUUUCCGGUGUAGCGGUGAAAUGCGUAGAUAUCGGAAGGAAUACCAGUGGCGAAGGCGGCUUACUGGACCAAUACUGACGCUGAGGUGCGAAAGCGUGGGGAGCGAACAGGAUUAGAUACCCUGGUAGUCCACGCCGUAAACGAUGAGAACUAGAUGUUGGGAGGGUUAGCCUCUCAGUGUCGCAGCUAACGCAUUAAGUUCUCC